GACGGAGGGUGCAAACGUUGUUCGGAAUCACUGGGCAUAAAGCGCACGCAGGCCGCCACCUAAGUCAGAUGUGAAAGCCCACGGCUCAACCGUGGAACGGCAUUUGAUACUGGGUGGCUAGAGUACGGUUGGGGUGAGUGGAACUCCUGGUGGAGCGGUGAAAUGCGUAGAUAUCAGGAGGAACACCAGUGGCGAAAGCGGCUCACUGGACCGUAACUGACGCUGAGGUGCGAAAGCUAGGGUAGCGAACGGGAUUAGAUACCCCGGUAGUCCUAGCCGUAAACGAUGCGUACUAGGUAGGGGGAAUGCCUAUGGUUUUCUCUACCGGAGCAAAUGUGUUAAGUACGCCGCCUGGGGAGUACGCUCGCAAGAGUAAAACUCAAAGGAAUUGACGGGGGAUCACACAAGCGGUGGAGCAUGUGGUUUAAUUCGAAGCAACGCGAAGAACCUUACCUGGUCUUGACAUGUACGGAUUAGUCCUGUGAAAGCAGGGUGACAGCCCUUCGGGGUCGGAACGUACACAGGUGUUGCAUGGCUGUCGUCAGCUCGUGUCGUGAGAUGUUGGGUUAAGUCCCGUAACGAGCGAAACCCUUAUUGUUAGUUGCCAGCGGGUAAUGCCGGGGACUCUAGCGAGACUGCCGUUGUUAAAACGGAGGAAGGUGGGGACGACGUCAAGUCAUCAUGGCCCUUAUGACCAGGGCGACACACGUGCUACAAUGGCCGGUACAAAGGGUUCCGAUAUCGCGAGAUGGAGGUAAUCCCACAAAGCCGGCCCCAGUUCGGAUUGCAGGCUGAAAUUCGCCUGCAUGAAGUUGGAAUCGCUAGUAAUCGCGUAUCAGCCAUGACGCGGUGAAUAUGUUCCUGAUCC
rnacentral:rRNA from 1 species